CUUUGUUUUCCCCACAAAAAUUAUGCAGAGAUCUACACUGACUAUAAGGAGAGCCUACAAGGAUUAAACAUGUACCUUAGAUGUCUUCAUGUCUUCUUUACCUGAGGAUAAGUGAGAUUUUUCUGGCAUUUGUAUUUUAACUUUUGCACUGCGUGGCAGAAAUGCUCACAAAUGAAUUGUUAGUUCAGAAAUGAUAGACUCCUAACAUCAGUGGCAUCUAAUUUUCAAUCUGGUAAGAGAAGGAUGAUGAUAUUAUUUCCUUAACCUAGCAUAUCCAUGGAAACAUCCGCUUCUUCAGAGCUGUCCGCACACCAAACUCAGUGGACACCAGUCCCAGUCCUGCCCUCUUCCUCAGAGCUUGCCUGGAGGCUGUAGGGAGCUUGAGGCUGUCUGCUGGACUCCUCUUGUUGUCCCAGCACAGCAGCUCAGUGAACACCAGUCCCAGUCCUGCUCUAUUCCUCAGAGCUCACCUGGAGGCUGCAGGGAGCUCGGGACUGUCUGCUGGACUCCUCCCAUUGUCCCAGUACAGUCAGAGGACACCAGUCCCAGUCCAACUCCUUCCCUUUUCCUCAGAGCUUGGGAAAGAAAAGGACCAUUCGUGAUUGUUUGCUCAUUUAGGAUAAAGAUAUAGUAAAAUACGGGACAGUAAAAAUGGGAACUGAAUGCAAACCAAGCAUAAGAAGGAGAAAGAAAAGGAGAAGGAGAAAGAAAAAGGGAAAGUAGUAUUGCAAGAAGAAAUAGAAUGAAAAACAGAGGAAAAUAUUAAUCUGCUCUGCAAGAACGAAGGAUGAUUUAAAUUUUAUCAAGAUUGAGCAAAGUUUCACUUUUCAAGUGUUUUGGAUCUACCAUUAGAGGUGAGAUCUUUCUGUCAGUCUUGUGAGAAUACUCAAAAUCUUAGCCAAUUUACCUCUUCUCAUGUUGAUAGAAGUCAAGACAUUUAAAGUCAUUAAUGCAUAAAAUUUACCUAUAGAUGAUAAUGAAUCAUAAAUCCUUAAAUUUUUUUUAAUAAUUACAUUUCUGUAACUAUUUUGAGGCUAUUAAAAGACAUGUUGGCAUAUCCCUCUGCAGAGAAAAAUCUGCAGGGAUGAAGAGUUUUUUACUGCUGAAUACAAAUAAUAAAACAAAUUCUUCUUGUCUCUAGAAACCUUGG
rnacentral:lncRNA from 1 species